ensembl:snoRNA
GGCCUCAAGUGAUGGAGAGAAAUGCCCAGGGAGGACUGUGACCAAAUUGGGAUGUAUUCGUACUGUCUGAUGGGGCC